rnacentral:rRNA from 1 species
UACAGGAGGUCUCAAGCGUUGUUCGGAUUCAUUGGGCGUAAAGGGUGCGUAGGUGGCGCUGUAAGUCGGGUGUGAAAUUUCGGAGCUUAACUCCGAAACUGCAUUCGAUACUGCGGUGCUUGAGGACUGGGAGAGGAGACUGGAAUUCAUGGUGUAGCAGUGAAAUGCGUAGAGAUCAUGAGGAAGACCAGUGGCGAAGGCGGGUCUCUGGACAGUUCCUGACACUGAGGCACGAAGGCCAGGGGAGCAAACGGG